GGUCUAUUCCAACGAGUGUGGCAGAGAUAUCGCGUUCCUCUCAACGGAACUUUCUCUCACGUGCCCCUCGUCUCUUUAUUUUUUCAUUCGUGGGUGUCCAGACUUGGGGAAAACGAAACGGUAACGGACGUCGGAGAACGAGGAGGAGGAUAAUUUAAAAAAUCAUCCAUCAUGGAUCCCGAAGCCUUCUUAGAGAUGGCCAACCAGGUCACUAAGUUGAAAAUGUACCCGUACUUUGACAUCGCUCACUGUGCUAUUUGCUGUCUGUACGUGCGAGAAGAUUUGGCCACCGGUGCGCUACCCUUUUCACGAAAACAUCCUCUGUCGAACUGGAUCUCGUCUAUGGCAACAAUCUUUGCGGGUGGACUGAUCACGAACUUCCUCUUGGGUGAACCUGUUCUUGGUGCUAUAAAGAAUAACCAGCAGCUGCUUUUAGCUACAAUUGUAUGGUAUGUCAUCUUUUACUCUCCAUUUGAUAUCGGCUAUAAAGUUGCGAAAUUCCUCCCGAUAAAGGUUCUUCUUGCGGCCAUGAAGGAAGUUUACAGGGUAAAGAAAAUCAAUGAUGGAGUGACACAUGCAGCCAAGGUGUUCCCUAAUGGUUAUGUGACGAUGAUUCUGAUUGGUGCCAUAAAGGGUAAUGGUUCUGGCUUCAUGAAAGUGGUGGAGAGAUUGUUGCGAGGCGUCUGGACACCCACGGCCGUCGAAGUCAUGCAGCCAUCCUUCCCAACCAAGGCAUCAAUUGCUGCUGGCAUCAUUUUCGUUCUGGACAAGAAAACCGAUCUCAUAUCAGCUCCCCAUGCCCUUGUUUACUUUGGCAUUUGUAUAUUCUUUGUGUAUUUCAAGCUCUCAUCUCUGCUCCUGGGUAUCCAUGAUCCCUUCGUGCCUUUCGAGAACCUCUUCUGCGCCAUCUUCCUUGGUGGCAUUUGGGACUCUCUGUCUCAGACUCUGGCUGGUAGGAAGGCUGCCGCAGCUGAAAAGGGUGGUGAUGCUGUCAAAAAUGGUAAUGGGAAGAAUAAAAAGGAAUGAUGAAAAGAAAUGUUCGUGUGUGUGUGUGUGUCCACUAACUCAAAGGCAUGGUGUGACAGACAUGUUGUUAGAUUUUUGAGACUGUCGGCUGACUCACAAGGGACCCACCUUGUGAAAAUCGGGGCAACGAUAUUCAGCACCAUCAGCUUUGUCACAAUUCGAGUUUUAUUGCUUCCUUUUAAUGGUUGUUGAUGGAAGCUGCUGAAUACAAUUAAUUUUAAUCUAAUUGCAUCUUCAUUUUGCAAUACUGAAGUGCAUUUAUUUUUAAAAUCUGAGGCUUGUUAAAAGGUUGAUUCAUUCAUUGCUUAUGAAAUGAAAGGUUACUUUUUAAGGUACUGUAUAGUUUUUCUGAAAUGAAUUAAUUUCAAUAGAAAUAUUUUAACACUUAAGAUGAAGGAACACUCAGUCAUCAAAUUUAUUCUCUUCAUUUAACAUAGAUCUUUUAUUGCUGGAAAAUGAGUAAGGAUAUGCGAGCUUAUUUUCCAAAUGAUUAUGUUGUAUUCUGGGAACUGAAAUGUACAAAAUGUCACUAAGUCACAACCUUGAAUUUUAUAUGAACAGAGUGCCAUUUUUGAUUGCAUAUCUCCAUUGGAAGUCGAGCAAGAUAUCGAACAUAUUUUGUAGUCAUUGUUUACUCAGUCCAAGAUAUGUGCAUACAAGAUUAAUGCAGAAGCACGUAGUUUAUGCAUCCCAUGCAGAAGUAUGGUCCACAGUGUUACUGCAUACAUCUACCCCCAAUCUUUUUCCGUUGUCCACGUGGCAGAAGUCUUCCUUCUAAAAAAAUAUGUAGUUAUUACACUUUUUUAAGUGUUUUUAGUCACCACUUUUAACUCCCAUAGUCUUACUAGUCACACAUCAUGUAGAUGGAAUUCAGGAUCCAUUUUUCGUGGCUGUGGAGCAUUGCAGUGAUCUCGUUGUUGGCAAUGCCCCUCACCCGUGAAGAGGUUUUGUCCAAAGAGUUGUCCGUUAUCGAUUAAUCCAUAAGUUUUGGGUGAGCGUUGAAUGCUCAGAUUGUCUAUUCAGAAGAUUUCGUCAUCGUCAUCUUCUCUCUACCUUGGUUCCUUUCUCUAUUUCUCUAAAAGAAAAGAUAGAUACUAACAUUAUUUUCACAUGUAAUAAGUGCAAUAUAUUCUGUACUGUAUACAGUAUUACGAGGUUGAACUUGACCUAUAUGAGUCAGGACUCAUCUGUUGUAAACUAUACAAAGAUUUACAAAAGACACUUCUCACUGCACACAUCAAAGGAAAAUAUCCAUGAUGACAUGAUUUUAUGGGAAAUUUCAAUAUGAACUUGUUGAAAUUUUGGAGAAAAAUAAAAAAAGAAUGACACCCUAAA